UACGUAAUUGGCGCGCGUUAUCCGGAAUUACUGUGCGUAAAGCGUGCGUAGGCGGUUUCGUGUGUGGGAAUUGAAAGCCCGGGGCUCAACUCCGGAUCCGGUUCCCAAACUGCUAGACUCGAGAGUAUCAGAGGAGAGCGGAAUUCCCGGUGUAGCGGUAAUAUGCGUAGAUAUCGGGAGGAACACCAGUGGCGAAGGCGGCUCUCUGGGGUAUUUCUGACGCUGAGGCACGAAAGCCAGGGGAGCGAACGGG
rnacentral:rRNA from 1 species